CGCGGCCCUGGCGCAGCACAGGCCAAUGUGUUGGUUUUUAUUUUGUAUUUUUUUUUUUUUUUCGGCUUAGACAGGUGUACGCAGACGCUAUUGUUGUUGGGUGCCGUGCCGCCAGUUGGUCGUUGGUGGUGCUAUUGAUACGAGCAUAGCAUUGAGCACUGUUUUUUGAAAAGCCGUCCGUGCAUUCUACAAGUUUUCCAUCCAUCUACCGAAGACCUGUGCACACACACACACACCGAACCGAUUGAAAAACUUGGCAUUUAACUUGUUUUGGUUUUCGUUUUGGCCAUCGAGUGAAAUCUACAGGAACAGUGUGGGCACGAAAGGAUUGACCUCUGGAUCUACAAGACCAAGACCAAGACUCUAUAGAUCUGUAAUGACAUCCAUUUCAUGGUCUUCGUUACAUUGCCCUCUGCUUCGGAUCAGCAAGCAGCCAGAGGAUCUGCUGUAUUCAACGUUCGGCUAGAUGACGUGGGACUCUAAUGGAAAGCGAAGCAACAGGGCAAUCAAUGAAUCAAUGAACUGUACCCAUGGAACCCCGCAAGUAGACAUCUUGCCAAGGCAGGAAGGAAGGAAGACAAAGCGGAGAACUAAGGAGGUGGUAAUAUAGAGCUUCCCGACUUGCCGCGUUUGCUUAUUGGCUUACCCGCACACAAAUCAAGGUUAAUAGUGGAUGAGUAGAUGGUUGGAUGGACGGCUGUCUGUGAGCAUGCGCACACCUUUCCAAUCAAUCAGUUUACACAAAAUUAGCAUAAGCCCCAAACGCCCAACCAACGGUCACGUCACGACGACUCGAACAACUCCCAAAACUGUGGAAACAUGGGAAAUAUUCUGCACAUUGGCAUGGAAAAGUGAUCCAAUUGGGAAAGUUUAUGGCCAAAAAAUGUUCCAAAGGCUUCCAGGAUACAAGCAAAAAAAGGAACAACAAUGCACCUUUCAACCUCCUCCGCCGCUGACAAGACAAUGAAAAGUGAAAUUGUCUCGAUAGAUAUUUCGUUAUGUAUUUGGAGGUGGGGAGUGGGGAAUGGGGAAUGGGGGAAUCAAUGAAAGUCACAGCCAAAGUGCAGAGGGAGUCGAUGCUCGCAUGUUCGCAUAAUCAUGCCAAAAACGGCAACAAAAGACCAAUGAAAAAGUGGCAAAACACAACGACACAAAAAGCCAGCCGAAAAGGAGAAAGGCACACAGGCAAAGGCAAAGGCAGACUCUUAACAUUGAAGGCCUCAAGAGCUGAGGAGGAGCUGAGGAGCCACCAGCCCGUGCGAGUCUCAAAGCAUCACCUGCACAGAUCUGUUGGUGGCACAGAUCUGAAGGACGUUUGCCCAAAAGGCAGGCAACUUUCACCAUUCGAGACCCCAACGACAGAGCCAGCCAGCCAGCCAGCCAGCCAUCCAUUCCAGAUAGACGUACCCGAUGUCAAUCAGAAAUGCCAUCCACAUCCACAGACAGACAGACAGGUCUACUCGUACGGGUAUUUCUUUUUGCACAAUGCCCGAUUUCAUUGAGAAAUGCUGAAGGUUAAAAUGCAAUUGAAAGAAAUGAAAAUACAAAUAAUUGGGCAGACAUGAGAGGAAAGCUAAGAGAGGCUUCAACUUCAACUUGAAGCUCUCUGGCUCUUGUCACAGAUUUGCUUAUCAAAUUAGCCCCAAAUUGCGGCCAGCCAAGCGGAAAGUGGUGGCAAUUUCUGGCUUAAAGUGAUAGAAAAUAAUUCGAAAUAAUAAUCCCAUAUGAUUGGUAAUGUUUAAGCUUUAAAGUAGGCUUAAAGACUGUUAAAAACAAGUGAAAAUAUGUUGGGAGAUCUCUGAGAUCUUCAGAAGUCGGACAAACCUUGUUUUUUAGUGCCGAUAUUGGCAUCAGUACCGGUAGAUUUAAUAUUAGUGGAUUUGUUGUAAAUUUUAUUUGUAAAAUAUGCCGAAAAUUGUUC